GGCACAGUGGCUUAGUGGUUAGCGUGUUUGCCUCGCACCUGCAGGGUUGGGGACUCAAUUCCCUCCUCUGCCU